rnacentral:rRNA from 1 species
GGAAGUUUAGCUUGCUAAAUGGACUCAUGGCGGACGGGUGAGUAACGCGUAAAGAACUUGCCCUUUAGACUGGGAUAACAGAGGGAAACUUCUGAUAAUACUGGAUAAGUUAGUAUAUCGCAUGAUAUGCAAAUGAAAGCUACGGCACUAAAGGAGAGCUUUGCGUCCUAUUAGCUAGUUGGUAAGGUAAGAGCUUACCAAGGCGAUGAUAGGUAGCCGGCCUGAGAGGGUGGACGGCCACAAGGGGACUGAGAUACGGCCCUUACUCCUACGGGAGGCAGCAGUGGGGAAUAUUGGACAAUGGAGGGAACUCUGAUCCAGCAAUUCUGUGUGUGUGAAGAAGGUUUUAGGACUGUAAAACACUUUUAGUAGGGAAGAAAAAAAUGACGGUACCUACAGAAGAAGCAACGGCUAAAUACGUGCCAGCAGCCGCGGUAAUACGUAUGUUGCGAGCGUUAUCCGGAAUUAUUGGGCUUAAAGGGCAUCUAGGCGGUAAGACAAGUUGAAGGUGAAAACCUGUGGCUCAACCAUAGGCUUGCCUACAAAACUGUUGAACUAGAGUACUGGAAAGGUGGGUGGAACUACACGAGUAGAGGUGAAAUUCGUAGAUAUGUGUAGGAAUGCCGAUGAUGAAGAUAACUCACUGGACAGAAACUGACGCUGAAGUGCGAAAGCUAGGGGAGCAAACAGGAUUAGAUACCCUGGUAGUCCUAGCUGUAAACGAUGAUCACUGGGUGUGGGGAUGCGAAGUCUCUGUGCCGAAGCAAAAGCGAUAAGUGAUCCGCCUGGGGAGUACGUUCGCAAGAAUGAAACUCAAAGGAAUUGACGGGGGCCCGCACAAGUGGUGGAGCAUGUGGUUUA